AGCAGCCGCGGUAAUUCCAGCUCCAAUAGCGUAUAUUAAAGUUGUUGCAGUUAAAAAGCUCGUAGUUGAAUUUCGGGGUUAGUAGGUUGGUCGUGCCACUGGUACGUACUGGUCUCACUGACUCCUCCUUCCUGAUGAACUGUAAUGCCAUUAAUUUGGUGUUGCGGGGAAACUGGACUGUUACUUUGAAAAAAUUAGAGUGUUUAAAGCAAGCUAACGCUUGAAUACAUUAGCAUGGAAUAAUGAAAUAGGACGUUCGAUCCUAUUUUGUUGGUUUCUAGGAUUGACGUAAUGAUUAAUAGGGAUAGUUGGGGGCAUUAGUAUUCAAUUGUCAGAGGUGAAAUUCUUGGAUUUAUUGAAGACUAACUACUGCGAAAGCAUUUGCCAAGGAUGUUUUCAUUAAUCAAGAACGAAAGUUAGGGGAUCGAAGACGAUCAGAUACCGUCGUAG
rnacentral:rRNA from 1 species